AGCAGACACUCUGACGGCAGUAACUAUGGUGUGAGUAGAUGGAGUGAUAAGGUGACUCAAGAAUAUAGGAGAAAUAAGGAUGAACACUCACACUCUGCUGUCAGCAACAUCCACAGAAUUAGUGGAUAAAUGUUAGGAGAGAAAGAAGUUCAAAAGGCAACAAACUCUAGCCAACAUGGAAGUCUAAUUUGAUAAGGAAACAGCAGCUACAGGAGUGAUUGAUAUACAAUCAAAAUCUAUCUAUAGGAAGCACACAAGAGCAGAAUUCUUAUGCACAAUGGAAAAGACCAUCCACAAGGAUAAGGAUAAGACUCAUCUUCCUUAUCCUUGUAGAUAAAGUAGAGAUGUAAUGUAUACCUAUAUAAAUACAUAAGAAAAACUCAUUCAGUAGUAAUUUGAGAGAAAGGAAUUAUAGUGCUCACGUUAAUAAAACAAACAACACAAUUGUUGUUGUUCUGUCCUCUUUCUCCAAAAUAAUCUCUGCAAAUUUAAUUUUUCUUCUUGGUAUCAGAGCUUGUGUGAGCACAUUCUAGCCAAACAACACAAUGACCUCACUUUCUCUCAAUGUUGGUAACUUCAUUACUCUCAAGCUAAAUCCAACAAAUUACCCUUUGUGGCGUGAAUAAGCACUGGCACUAGCAAAAAGCCAGGAACUUAUCGGCCACCUUACAGAUGAAGAACCAUCCCCCACCAAAUAUACCACACAAGAUUUAACCACCAACACAGAACACUCUACACCAAUGCUAUCUAAUGAAUACAUCUCCUGGCGCAAGUCAGAUCGACUUCUACGAGGAUGGAUCAUUGGCACUCUAUCAGAAUAAGCCCUCAGCAUUGUUGUUGGAGUAGAAAUAGCAUAUGAUGUCUGGGAAGUACUCAAGAAUGCCUAUGCAAAAGACUCUCAAGAAAUAGAGUUUACUCUUCGCCAACAGAUGACAUACUUCCGCAAACAUGAAGACAAAAACAUGGAUGAACACAUUUGCAGAUUCAAAAGCUUGUGUGAUAGUCUUGCUGCAAUAGGAAAACCAAUUCCUGACAAAGAAAAGGUGUUUUGUCUCCUCACAAGCCUUGGUCCACAAUAUGAAACCUUCACCACAACUAUGUUGAAACCCCCAACACAACUAUGCUGAAACCCCCAAGACCAACCUAUCCAGAACUAGUAUCCCAUCUUCAGAACUUUGAUCAGAGAUGCAGCUGGUUUUUGUCUCAAACAGAUAUUGCACACACACACAGAGUCAUCAACAACUUGCUUUCUAUGGACAACAUCGUCAACAACGCUCUCAACAACCAUCCUCAAUCUAUCGUGGUAACACAUCAAAAUUCACUUCAAAUGGGAGAGGCUUCCAAGCACAACAAUACAGGGAACACAAUAGAAUCCCCACCACAGCAGACACACAACGACGUCCUCCACCCCUAGGAGAACAUCGGAUGACACAAACAGAAAGAGACAAUUUUCGCAAUGAAAAAUGUCAAUAUUGUGGGACAGAAGGCCACAUUGCCAAGAUAUGUUGGUAGAUACCGAAGAAAUCUUUCAACAAUGAAGAAAUCCCACACGCACUUGCAGCUUUAACUAUGGACAACACUUUAGCAGAAACAAAAUGGACAACCGAUACAGGUGCCUCCAACCAUAUGACAGGACAAUCAGGUAUGUUAACCAACCUUCGUAAAUAUAAGGGAGCUGACUCUAUAAUUAUAGGAAAUGGAUCCUCAAUACCAAUCCUUGGUAUUGGGGAUACACAAAUUAAACAGCAGAAAAUUGCUUUACCUCUUCGAGAUGUCUUAUUAGUCCCUACGCUAACGAAAAAUUUACUAUCGGUAAGUCAGUUGACUAAGCAAUUUCCUGUUAACUGUGAGUUUUCUAACGUUGAUUUUUGUGUCAAGGAACGAAAGACAGGACAACCAGUAAUCACAGGGACUCGCAAGGGUGAUCUUUAUGUCCUUCCGACUUCACCAAAACUAUAUUUCUCAACAAGAUUUAGAACAGGUUCUGCUGAAGUGUGGCACCAGCGUCUAGGACACCCACAAUUCUUAGCUUUACAAUUGUUGAAAAUAAGGGCUUGAUAGAUGUAACGGGAACGUUGAAAUCCAAGCAUCUAUGUGAUAGUUGUCAAUUAGGAAAAUUGAGCAGAUUACCGUUCUCAUGUUCGGAAAAUUCUAGCACUGGUAUUUUUGAUAAAAUUCAUUGUGACUUUUGGGGACCUUCUCUUGUUUUAUCCAUUGGUAAAUUUCGAUAUUAUGCAUGUUUAGUAGAUGAUUUUUCGAAAUAUACAUGGAUUAUAUCCUUGCGACAUAAGUCUGAUUUUGUGAAUGAAUAUUUUUCCUUUGAACAAUAUGUUAACCUGCAGUUCAACAAAAAGAUUAAAAUUUUCCACUCUGAUGGAGGUGGAGAAUUUGUCAACUCCAAGCUUACAUCUCAUUUCCAUACAUCAGGUAUUAUCCAUCAAAUUUCAUGUCCAUAUACAUGUCAAAAAAAUAUUAGUCUCACGUCAUGUUGUCUUUGAUGAAACAAUGUUUCCAUACAAACCAUCAACCACCAUUCAGCCAUCAUCACAUACAUUUAAAAUCUUUGACACAUGGAUACCUCACAUUUCUCAAAGUGUUUUAGGAAAUAUAGAGAACAAGGAAACAACCCCAAGCUGCAGCCCUCUGCCAGGAAUUACACAGGAGCAAAAUACACCUGCCAUACAGCUUCCCCAAGACAGCAGACUACAACCAGCGGGGUCUCCUGCACCACCACAGGGACAGCAGUAACAGUGUAUCCUGUAACAGAUCGUGUAGCAGCAGAAACAAGCUCUGAAGCAGCAAUAGAGUUUACAGCAGCAGAUUCUACAGUAGAAGCAAUGCUAGAAUCCAUAACAGAUGUUGCAACAAAUCUCACAGCAACAGGGAUAAUAACAGAUCCUACAGUAGCAGAUUCUCCAGCAAUAACAGACUCUACCCCAAUCGUGACAGUCUCCACAAUAGACCCUGCAAAAAUAGCAUCCGAGGCAGCUACAACUCAUCACCCAAUGAUCACUCGUUCCCAAUCAACAGAACAGGCAAAAUCCUCACGAGCAGAGCCUACAUCAACAAUUCUACAACAGUCUCAAGGAUAAGACUCUCACACUAUGGUUACACGAUUUCAACGUGGAGUUGUAAAACCAAAUCCAAAGUAUGCCUUGACAUCCAUAGCUUCUCAAAGUGUACCCAGGGAACCACAAAAUGUUCAAACAGCUCUGGCUCAUCUUGGUUGGAAAACUGCAAUGGAAGAAGAAUUUGCUGCUCUACAGUUAAAUCAGACAUGGACCCUUAUUCCACGCACCCCGGACCUACAUAUAAUUGGCUCUAAAUGGGUGUUUAAGACAAAACUGAAACCCGAUGGAUCCUUAGACAGACUAAAGGCUCGUGUUGUUGCAAAAGGGUAUUAUCAGAUUGAUGGAAUUGACUAAACUGAAACCUUCUCUCCAGUUGUCAAACCGGGCACCAUACGAAUGAUUAUCAGUACAGCACUAAUUCAAGGAUGGCCUAUUCGACAACUUGACGUAAAGAAUGCCUUCUUGCAUGGUAACAUCACUGAAGAUAUAUACAUGGAGCAACCACCGGGAAUGGCAGACUCACAACAUCCAGAAUAUGUCUGCAAAUUACAGAAGGCUCUCUAUGGUCUCAAACAAGCUCCAUGUGCCUGGUUUGAUCGUUUCAGCACUUUUCUUCUUGAAUAUGGAUUUAUCUGUAGCCUAGUUGAUCCAUCUUUAUUUAUCCUUCAUUCUGAACAUGGCUUGCUAGUACUUUUACUUUAUGUAGAUGAUAUGUUGCUCACAGGAUCUACAGAGGCCCUUGUCAGCAACUUCAUUCAACUCCUAAGUGGCGAGUUUACCAUGAAAGAUUUGGGACCUAUUCAUCACUUCCUUGGAAUUGAAAUCUACAAAACAAGGAGUGGACUCCACUUAUCCUAGUCACACUAUGCAUUGACUAUACUUGAACGUGCUACAAUGACAGAUUGUAAACCUAUGAGCACACCUCUUGAAGCAAAAACAAAAACCUCCAUAACUGAUAUCCCUCUAGAAGACCCUAGCCAUUUUAGAGGAUUAGUUGGAUCACUACAGUAUCUCACUCUCACACGGCCAGACCUUUCAUAUAGUGUUAAUUAUGUGUCACAAUUCAUGCAUGCACCAGCAAUGACACAUCUAAAAAUGGUUAGACAAAUUCUACAAUAUGUGAAAGGGACACUUAAUAUAGGUCUACAUUUUUCUGCCAAUACUUCACUUGAUCUUUCUGCCUUUUCAGAUGCUGAUUGGGCAGGAUGCCUCACUACUAGACGUUCCACCACAGGAUACUGUGUUUUUAUGGGUAAAAACAUCAUUUCCUGGUGCGCAAAGAAGCAACAUACAGUAUCGCGUUCUAGCACUGAAGCCGAAUAUCGUGCAAUGGCCAAUACAGCAGCUGAGCUUACAUGGUUAGCUUUUAUUCUAAAAGAUCUCCACAUUCCAAUGACAUCUCCUCCAACACUCUAUUGUGACAAUCUCAGUGCUCUUCAUAUGACAAUCAAUCCUGUCUUCCAUGCCAGAAGCAAACAUAUCGAAUUAGACUAUCAUUUUGUGCGAGAGAGAGUUGCCCUUGGACAACUGAUCACCAAACAUAUCUCCACUAAUGAACAAGUUGCAGAUCUCUUCACAAAGCAAAUGUCAAAGGCAGCCCUCACAAGUUUUCAAAACAAACUAUGCCUUCAACCCAAGCAUAGUUUGAGGGAGAGUGUUAGCAGUAGACACUCUAACGACAGUAACUAUGGUGUGAGUAGAUGGAGUGAUAAGGUGACUCAAGAAUAUAGGAGAAAUAAGGAUGAACACUCACACUCUGCUGUCAGCAACAUCCCCGGAAUUAGUGGAUAAAUGUUAGGAGAGAAAGAAGUUCAAAAGGCAACAAACUCUAGCCAACAUGGGAGUCUAAUUUGAUAAGGAAACAGCA
rnacentral:lncRNA from 1 species